rnacentral:rRNA from 1 species
AUUGAACGCUGGCGGCAUGCCCUACACAUGCAAGUCGAACGGCAGCACGGGAGCAAUCCUGGUGGCGAGUGGCGAACGGGUGAGUAAAGUAUCGGAACGUGCCCAGUCGUGGGGGAUAACCUAGCGAAAGUUACGCUAAUACCGCAUACGAUCUAUGGAUGAAAGCGGGGGAUCGCAAGACCUCGCGCGAUUGGAGCGGCCGAUAUCAGAUUAGGUAGUUGGUGGGGUAAAGGCUCACCAAGCCGACGAUCUGUAGCUGGUCUGAGAGGACGACCAGCCACACUGGGACUGAGACACGGCCCAGACUCCUACGGGAGGCAGCAGUGGGGAAUUUUGGACAAUGGGCGAAAGCCUGAUCCAGCCAUGCCGCGUGCAGGAUGAAGGCCUUCGGGUUGUAAACUGCUUUUGUACGGAACGAAAAGGUUUGGGCUAAUAAGCUGAGCUCAUGACGGUACCGUAAGAAUAAGCACCGGCUAACUACGUGCCAGCCGCCGCCGUAA